UUAGAACACAGAAUGUCAGCGCCAUCUUGUAACGGCGAAUGUGAGGGCGGCUCCCCGCAGAUUUGAAAGAUGAUAUUGAAGCAACAGACCUUCUGUAACUCACACCUUUUUGACUCGGAUCCACGUUUGAAUGAGAAAUGCCCUUCUGAGUGUCAAACAUUUGAACACUUGAUUCACAGCUGGUUGCUUUGUUUGAGAAGAUCAUGGAACCUUUAGAAGUUGGAGUCUUGCUGGAGACUGCAUACUUUUUAUUGAUUUAUGUUCAAGGUCACCGACU
rnacentral:lncRNA from 1 species